UUGGGAGGUCGGAAUUGGUGUUCCGCCACCGACAAUAAACGCACCGACCCAGCCCCAGCCCAUCUCUCCCAUUCUCUCAAUUGUUGAAGGGUUUCUUCUUCCUCAACUUCCCUGUCUAUUGCUCGUUUUCGCUUCUUCCUUCUAACCUUCAAUCAUGCCUCGCCGAAGCUCUGAACAACCGCACUGCUUCAGGUGUCUACAAACUUUUCGGAGGCUUUUCGUUGUGAUUUAUAUUAAAGAUGAUAUUUGGAUGGAAAUACUACACAGACUGUUAGUGUUGUGUGUUCAAAUAGCAGCUUUGGUAUUUGAAAGCUAUUAUGUAGUUCCGAAGGAAGAUCUAGGUCUGCUCCCAGUGUUGCUGCGCAUGGUCCAUUGUGCAAGCCUCCGUCGUCAGCUGCUCCUGCUCCUCCACCAGCUACUGCACAAGGGAGGUCAGCAGGAAGACUUGGUUCUGUUGUUGCUGAAGGUAUGGCCUUUGGUGUAUGGAAGUGCCAUUGCGCAUAGGGCUGUUGAUGGUAUAAUGGGUCCCCGCCAUGUUAUCAGGGAUGAGUCUGUUGCCUCCCCAGCUCCUGCUGCUGAAUCGGUACCCACAAAUUCUGAUGCAUGUGGUGUUCAAUCCAAAGCCUUUACAGAUGAAAUCAGUGGUCAUCAAGGAAGAUCGCCUACUCGUGCUCGAGGCAGAGGUCGAGCUAUUCCUACUCUUGCUCCUGCCCCUACACCACCACCCGCACCUGCUACUCCAGGGGAGUCUACUGCAGAUUUACGUCAAGAGGUGAGUGAGUUAAGGGGUAUAGCAGCCACUAUGCUGAGACAUUUUGAGGCUUUCAUGGCAAACCAGGAGAGACAGGGUUAGGCACCGCAGGGGGCAGGAAAUGAAGCAGGCCCGAAUGAGAACAAUAGCAGGCAGACAGUGAUUCAGGAGAUGGAGCCCCAGGGGACAGACGAAAAUGCAAGAAGUCAGCUAGUGAGGAAUUUUAUAACUCUCAGGCCUCUAGAGUUCCAUGGAGGGACAGAUGUACUAGUAGCGGAGGAUUGGAUGAUGUCUAUAGAGAAGCACCUACGGAUUAUGGGAGGCAGCAAUACUCAGAGGGUCCAACUGGCUACAUUUCUGCUGCGAGGGGAUGCUGGGAGGUGGUGGGAAACCACCAGGCAGAGGUUCGUGAAUAGAGAGCCAUCAUGGGUGGAAUUCAAGGAAGUAUUCAAUGGAAACUAUUUUCCCUCCUGGAUCCGUGACCAGAAGACCUAUGAGUUUAUCGAAUUGACGCAGGGGAACAUGUCUGUGGCACAGUAUGAGGUGGAAUUUAUUUCCCUGGCGAGGUUUGCUCCUGACCUAGUAUCUACGGAGGAGAAGAAAGCAACAAAGUUUCAGCGGGGAUUAUGUGUGGAGAUCAGGUGCCAGUUGGCCGGUGCUUAGCUCACAGAUUAUGCUACAUUAGUGCAAAGGGCCUACAUAAUUGAGAAGGAGAUGAAUGAGUUGAGGGCGGCACAGGUAGCUUCACAAGAAGCGAGUUCAUCUCGUGGGCAGAGGAGUGAUAAGAAAAGGAAGGGGGCACCAAGUUUAGCAAGCAAUACAUUUGAUAUCCCACCUUGCAAGACUUGUGGGAGGAGGCAUCGAGAUUCAUGUCGAGCGUGUUAUACUUGCGGACAAAUAUGGCACCUACAGAAGGAUUGUCCACAAAAUUCGGGCACGAUAGGCAAUAGGGAGGUGACUUGUUAUCGGUGUGGUCGGAAAGGGCACAAGGCCAACGCUUGUAAUCAAUCACAACAACAGGGAGGACAAAGAUUCUGAGGUAAAGGUUACAGACAGGGUCAAAGACCGGUAGUACCUAGAGUUCAGGGGACGGCUCCACCCUUGACACUACCACAGGGACAACACACUGGGGAUGUUGAUAGACCCCACGUUCAAAGGCAAGUGUUAGCUUUGACUGAGGCUAAGAGGGGGAAGGAUACAGUGCAAGGUAUUCUCUCCUUAUAUGAUAUUGAUGUAUGUGUUUUAUUUGACACAGGAUCCACACACUCUUUUGUUGCACCUCGAGUUGUAUGUCAUAUUCCAAUUUCUAGAACAUUGUUGCCGUAUGACUUGAUAGUGUCUACGGCAGGGAAUGUGGAAUUGGUAGGUAGUGAGGUUUAUAGGGAUUGUAAAAUUAUGGUGCAUGAUAAGGAGCUAACGGGAAAUUUGGUGGUAUUAGAUAUAAAGGAUUUUGAUCUCAUUUUGGGCAUGGAUUGGCUAUUCAAACAUUAUGCCAAGGUUGAUUGUCGGCACAAGGUAAUCUAUUUUGAGUUGCCUCAGCAGCCAGUCAUAGUAUAUCGAGGCAUCAAGUCAAUAAACUCCACGUCCAUGAUUUUUGUAAUGAAGGCAGAGAAGUUGGUGCGACGUGGAUGAGAGGCAUAUUUAAUUAUUACGUAUGGUUAUUGCUUAUCAGACUACCCUUACAUCAGUCUCUUGCCUUGAGUUCAACUUUUCGACGGGAGAAUUAUAACAGUGCUUAAACUACUACGGGAGUGACAUCAGUAAGUGCCAGUUCCAUAUGGAUAUGCUAUCUGAAUGCCGUAAAAUUCUGCCUCUGGCUUGAGUGCUUGAUGCAUGAUGAAUGAUGAUGAUGUUCCUGCUCUUCUUGGGUGAUAGCAGCAGCAAUACUUGAAAUACCAAUGUGGUAGGAUGCUGUUGAUAUUAUUAUAUAUAUUACAUUAGCGAAGAAAUGUGCCAUUUUUGUUUAUGUUUGCUUUUGUAGAAAGCAAUGUAUCCAAGAUUUAAGUUUCUCUUAAUAUUAAAAUAUGUUGGGAAUUAUGAUACUUGGAAGAACAAUGUAAAUGCACCGAAUGGAAUGAUAUUAAACAAUAAAAAUAGC